rnacentral:rRNA from 1 species
CCUACGGGAGGCAUCAGUGGGGAAUAUUGCACAAUGGGCGAAAGCCUUAUGCAGCAACGCCGCGUAGCCGAUGAAGGCCUUCGGGUCGUAAAGCUCGUACCUCAAGGAAGAUAAUGACGGUACUUAAGGAGGAAGCCCCGGCUAACUACGUGCAAGCAGCCACGAUAAUACGUAGGGUGUUAGCGGUAUCCGGAAUUACUGGGCUUAAAGGGUGCGUAGGGGGUUUCUUAAGUCAGAGGUGAAAGGCUAGGGCUCAACCGUAGUAAGCCUUUGAAACUGGGGAACUUGAGUGCAGGAGAGGAGAGUGGAAUUCCUAGUGGAGCGGUGAAAUGCGUAGAUAGUAGGAGGAACACCAGUUGCGAAGGCGGCUCUCUGGACUGUAACUGACGCUGAGGCGCGAAAGCGUGGGGAGCAAACAGGAUUAGAUACCCUUGUAGUC